rnacentral:rRNA from 1 species
CCUACGGGAGGCAGCAGUAAGGAAUAUUGGUCAAUGGACGCAAGUCUGAACCAGCCAUGCCGCGUGGAGGAUGAAGGUCCUCUGGAUUGUAAACUUCUUUUCUCUGGGACGAAACCCCCGAUUUCCAUCGGGCCUGACGGUACCAGAGGAAUAAGCACCGGCUAACUCCGUGCCAGCAGCCGCGGUAAUACGGAGGGUGCAAGCGUUAUCCGGAUUCACUGGGUUUAAAGGGUGCGUAGGCGGGUUUGUAAGUCAGUGGUGAAAUCCCCGAGCUUAACUUGGGAACUGCCAUUGAUACUGCAAGUCUUGAAUUUUCUGGAGGUAAGCGGAAUAUGUCAUGUAGCGGUGAAAUGCUUAGAUAUGACAUAGAACACCCAUUGCGAAGGCAGCUUACUACGGGAAUAUUGACGCUGAGGCACGAAAGCGUGGGGAUCAAACAGGAUUAGAUACCCUGGUAGUCCACGCCCUAAACGAUGAUCACUCGACAUUAGCGAUAUUACGGUUAGUGUCUAAGCGAAAGCAUUAAGUAAUCCACCUGGGAAGUACGACCGCAAGGUUGAAACUCAAAUGAAUUGACGG